AUUGAACGCUGGCGGCAGGCCUAACACAUGCAAGUCGAGCGGAUGAAGGGAGCUUGCUCCUGGAUUCAGCGGCGGACGGGUGAGUAAUGCCUAGGAAUCUGCCUGGUAGUGGGGGAUAACGUCCGGAAACGGGCGCUAAUACCGCAUACGUCCUGAGGGAGAAAGUGGGGGAUCUUCGGACCUCACGCUAUCAGAUGAGCCUAGGUCGGAUUAGUUAGUUGGUGGGGUAAAGGCCUACCAAGGCGACGAUCCGUAACUCGUCUGAGAAGAAAAUCAGUCAGACUGAAACUGAGAAACGGACCUGAGUCCUACGGGAGGCCGCAGUGGGGAAAAUUGGACAAUGGGCGAAAGCCUGAUCCAGCCAUGCCGAGUGUGUGAAGAAGGUCUUCGGAUUGUAAAGCACUUUAAGUUGGGAGGAAGGGCAGUAAGUUAAUACCUUGCUGUUUUGACGUUACCAACAGAAUAAGCACCGGCUAACUUCGUG
rnacentral:rRNA from 1 species